rnacentral:sRNA from 1 species
GCCGGGCAUGGUGGUGCAUGUCUGUAAUCCCAGCAGCUCGGGAGGCUGAGGCAGGAGGAUCUCAAGUUCAAAGCCAGCUUCAGCAAAAGUGAGGCCCUGAGCAAUUCAUUGAGACUCUGUCUCUA